CAGCCGCCGCGGGAAUACAGAGGGUGCGAGCGUUAAUCGGAUUUACUGGGCGUAAAGCGUGCGUAGGCGACUAAUUGAGUCGGAUGUGAAAUCCCCGAGCUUAACUUGGGAAUUGCAUUCGAUACUGGUUAGCUAGAGUGUGGGAGAGGAUGGUAGAAUUCCAGGUGUAGCGGUGAAAUGCGUAGAGAUCUGGAGGAAUACCGAUGGCGAAGGCAGCCAUCUGGCCUAACACUGACGCUGAGGUACGAAAGCAUGGGGAGCAAACAGGAUUAGAUACCCCAGUAGUCCCUGUCUCUUAUAC
rnacentral:rRNA from 1 species